rnacentral:rRNA from 1 species
AGCGAACGCUGGCGGCAGGCCUAACACAUGCAAGUCGAACGAACUCUUCGGAGUUAGUGGCGGACGGGUGAGUAACACGUGGGAACGUGCCUUUUGGUUCGGAAUAACUCAGGGAAACUUGUGCUAAUACCGAAUGUGCCCUUCGGGGGAAAGAUUUAUCGCCAUUAGAGCGGCCCGCGUCUGAUUAGCUAGUUGGUGAGGUAACGGCUCACCAAGGCGACGAUCAGUAGCUGGUCUGAGAGGAUGACCAGCCACACUGGGACUGAGACACGGCCCAGACUCCUACGGGAGGCAGCAGUGGGGAAUCUUGUGCAAUGGGCGAAAGCCUGACGCAGCCAUGCCGCGUGAAUGAUGAAGGUCUUAGGAUUGUAAAAUUCUUUCACCGGGGACGAUAAUGACGGUACCCGGAGAAGAAGCCCCGGCUAACUGCGU